GACGGAAGGUGCAAGCGUUGCUCGGAAUUACUGGGCGUAAAGGGCGCGUAGGCGGGAUGGCAAGUCGGUCGUGAAAUCCCUCGGCUCAACCGAGGAACGUCGAUCGAUACUGCUGUUCUUGAGGAUUGCAGAGGAGACUGGAAUUCCCGGUGUAGCGGUGAAAUGUGUAGAGAUCGGGAGGAACACCGGUGGCGAAGGCGGGUCUCUGGGCAAUUCCUGACGCUGAGG
rnacentral:rRNA from 1 species